AAACACCAAAAACAGUCCAAAAUCCUAUGCAGCAUAAUUUGAUAAAUUAGAUUCCUCACAGAACUGACUGCAGAUACUGUUUUUCGGCUUUCCAUGAAGCAUUACUCUGUGGAGCUGCUGUUAUAUUUUUUAAAAGCUACUCACCUUGCAGGUGUCUUACUGAAUGUUUCCUGUCCUAGGAAUGAAACUAAUUUCAUAGUUACACCAGGAAGAGUGGCAGGCUUCUUGGGUGCACUGGCAGCAACUUUGAGCCAUAGCCAGAAUUUGCCUGCAGUCCAGACUCCAGUGAAUCAAGUCAGAACUCCUUUGAAGUCGAUUAUUCCAGUCAAAUCGAUCUAGCAAGGGGCUUCCUCCUGAGUGCCAGCUCUCAGGCCCUGCCCAGGUGAGCCCAAGCUCUAAAUAUUCAAAUGUGAUCAGAUUGUUGCAAAAGCAUGUUGUGUCCUGACAAGUCUUAUCACAUGUCAGGGGAUGAGCAGAGAAAUGUCUUCUGGCCAGAACUUGCAAAGCUGCCCCCACAGCUCUAGAGCCUAAUUACUCCCUUGAAAAACUGAAGACAGCUUUUGCAUCACCCAAACUUUGUCCCCCAAAACAUAGGAAUUCCAAAUUGCCUGGGAAUAUGCAGGUGAGGCUUCCACUUUGCUUUGCCAGUGGGGUGGGUGCCCCCUCACCCCACCAUGUCAUUAAGUGAAAACCAUUGAAUUGUGGAACAAAUCCUCAGGGAAACCUUGUUACUUGGUAUUUUUGAAGGGAAAAUGGCCAAAUUAACUUGAAUAGUGUAGAACUGUUGCCUAUAGGUGUGUCUCCCCAUGCCAAACAGGCAUGUGAGCUUGGUGAACUGCUUGGCUGCAAGCGAGAGAUUCAGCUGGAUCAACUCAUUAUUCUCUGAGUUCAGGUUCAGUCUGCUUUACCUCAGUUAUAGUUACACUAAACUUAAAGUACAUUAUUUGACUUCUUGAUGAGACUUACUUAAUUCUGUGCUGUGAGUCAGCUGACACCAAGAAAGAUGGCAAGGCCACAGAAGUAGUUUUUUUAUUCGGGACUGAGUAGAUUAAUGUCAAUACUCACAGGGAAGGAGCAUGCGAUUCUCAUUUUCUAAAAGAAAAACAAUAAUGGAGGUUAGGUUAAAAGUCUUAAUGCUACUUGAAAUUUCAGAAAAGCCUUUAUAAGACCAUUCAAAAGCACAUGUUUUAUAAAUACAAAAUGAGCCUUUGCUCAAAAGUAGCUCUUAUUCUGAGGAAGUAAAAAUGACUUGAUGCUACAUCAGCAGGGAAGGUUNNNNNNNNNNNNNNNNNNNNNNNNNNNUGGAAGUAUGUUCCUGGUGGGGGGGGGAGGAGGGGGG
rnacentral:lncRNA from 1 species